GACGAACGCUGGCGGCGUGCCUAACACAUGCAAGUCGAACGACGCCUGAUUAAGGAUUCUUCGGAUCAAGUAUGAUGUGACUGAGUGGCGGACGGGUGAGCAACGCGUGCGUAACCUGCCCUUCAGAGGGGGGUAGCGUUUCGAUACGACCGCAUACACCCUACAAUGUAUAUUAACCGCACUUCGGAAAUUGCACCGUUUUAUCGCUGAAGGAUGGAUUAGCGACUGAUUAGGUAGUUGGCGGGCUAACGGGCUACCAAGUCGACGAUCAGUAGCCGGACUGAGAGGUUGAGCGGCCACAUUGGGACGGAGACACGGCCCAGACUCCUACGGGAGGCAGCAGUGGGGAAUAUUGCACAAUGGGCGCAAGCCUGAUGCAGCAACGCCGCGUGAAGGAAGACGGUUUUCGGAUUGUAAACUUCUGUUCUUAGUGAAGAAUAAUGACGGUAGCUAAGGAGCAAGCCACGGCUAACUACGUG
rnacentral:rRNA from 1 species